rnacentral:rRNA from 1 species
GAUGAACGCUGGCGGCGUGCCUAAUACAUGCAAGUCGAGCGAACAGACGAGGAGCUUGCUCCUCUGACGUUAGCGGCGGACGGGUGAGUAACACGUGGAUAACCUACCUAUAAGACUGGGAUAACUUCGGGAAACCGGAGCUAAUACCGGAUAAUAUAUUGAACCGCAUGGUUCAAUAGUGAAAGACGGUUUUGCUGUCACUUAUAGAUGGAUCCGCGCCGCAUUAGCUAGUUGGUAAGGUAACGGCUUACCAAGGCAACGAUGCGUAGCCGACCUGAGAGGUUGAUCGGCCACACUGGAACUGAGACACGGUCCAGACUCCUACGGGAGGCAGCAGUAGGGAAUCUUCCGCAAUGGGCGAAGGCCUGACGGGGCAACGCCGCGUGAGUGAUGAAGGUCUUCGGAUCGUAAAACUCUGUUAUUAGGGAAGAACAAAUGUGUAAGUAACUAUGCACGUCUUGACGGUACCUAAUCAGAAAGCCACGGCUAACUACGUG